UACGAAGGGGACUAGCGUUGUUCAGAAUCACUGGGCGUAAAGCGCACGUAGGCGGAUAUGUCAGUCAGGGGUGAAAUCCCGGGGCUCAACCUCGGAACUGCCCUUGAUACAGCAUAUCUUGAGUCCGAUAGAGGUGGGUGGAAUUCCUAGUGUAGAGGUGAAAUUCGUAGAUAUUAGGAAGAACACCGGUGGCGAAGGCGGCCCACUGGAUCGGUACUGACGCUGAGGUGCGAAAGCGUGGGGAGCAAACAGG
rnacentral:rRNA from 1 species